rnacentral:rRNA from 1 species
AUUGAACGCUGGCGGCAGGCCUAACACAUGCAAGUCGAACGGUAACAGGAAGAAGCUUGCUUCUUUGCUGACGAGUGGCGGACGGGUGAGUAAUGUCUGGGAAACUGCCUGAUGGAGGGGGAUAACUACUGGAAACGGUAGCUAAUACCGCAUAACGUCGCAAGACCAAAGAGGGGGACCUUCGGGCCUCUUGCCAUCGGAUGUGCCCAGAUGGGAUUAGCUAGUAGGUGGGGUAACGGCUCACCUAGGCGACGAUCCCUAGCUGGUCUGAGAGGAUGACCAGCCACACUGGAACUGAGACACGGUCCAGACUCCUACGGGAGGCAGCAGUGGGGAAUAUUGCUCAAUGGGCGCAAGCCUGAUGCAGCCAUGCCGCGUGUAUGAAGAAGGCCUUCGGGUUGUAAAGUACUUUCAGCGGGGAGGAAGGGAGUAAAGUUAAGACCUUUGCUCAUUGACGUUACCCGCAGAAGAAGCACCGGCGAACUCCGU